UACGUAGGGGGCAAGCGUUGUCCGGAUUUAUUGGGCGUAAAGAGCGUGUAGGCGGUUAUACAGGUCCGCUGUGAAAACUGGAGGCUUAACCUCCAGACGUCGGUGGAAACCGUAUAACUAGAGUCCGGAAGAGGAGAGUGGAAUUCCUGGUGUAGCGGUGAAAUGCGCAGAUAUCAGGAAGAACACCCGCGGCGAAGGCGGCUCUCUGGGACGGUACUGACGCUGAGACGCGAAAGCGUGGGGAGCGAACAGG
rnacentral:rRNA from 1 species